rnacentral:tRNA from 1 species
GGCGGCAUGGCCAAGCGGUA